rnacentral:rRNA from 1 species
CAGUCGAGGGGCAGCAUGGGGGAGUAGCAAUACUCUCUGAUGGCGACCGGCGUAAGGGUGCGUAACGCGUGAGCAACUUGCCCUCAUCAGGGGAAUAAUCGCUGGAAACGGCGUCUAAUGCCCCAUGGUGAUGUCCUCAGGCAUCUGAGGUCAUCUAAAGAUCCGUCGGAUGGGGAUAGGCUCGCGUGACAUUAGCUAGACGGCGGGGUAACGGCCCACCGUGGCGACGAUGUCUAGGGGUUCUGAGAGGAAGGUCCCCCACACUGGAACUGAGACACGGUCCAGACUCCUACGGGAGGCAGCAGUGAGGAAUAUUGGUCAAUGGGCGCGAGCCUGAGCCAGCCAAGUCGCGUGAGGGAUGACGGCCCUACGGGUUGUAAACCUCUUUUGUCGGGGAGCAAAUUCCGCCACGUGUGGCGGAGUCGAGAGUACCCGAAGAAAAAGCAUCGGCUAACUCCGUGCCAGCAGCCGCGGUAAUACGGAGGAUGCGAGCGUUAUCCGGAUUUAUUGGGUUUAAAGGGUGCGUAGGCGGACUGUCAAGUCAGCGGUAAAAUACGGGGGCUCAACCUCCGCCCGCCGUUGAAACUGACGGUCUUGAGUGGGCGAGAAGUAUGCGGAAUGCGUGGUGUAGCGGUGAAAUGCAUAGAUAUCACGCAGAACUCCGAUUGCGAAGGCAGCAUACCGGCGCCCGACUGACGCUGAAGCACGAAAGCGUGGGUAUCGAACAGGAUUAGAUACCCUGGUAGUCCACGCAGUAAACGAUGAAUACUAGCUGUCCGGGGCGAAUGAGCCCUGNGUGGCACAGCGAAAGCGUA